GUAAAUGGUCAGGAGAGAAGAGGGAAGGCCGGACUCCACUCUUAAUGGCCAAGACAGCCUUGAAAGCGGAUGCAGUAUAGAACCGGUUUCAUGGGAGAUCAAUGGAAGGGAAGAUUGGUGCGUCCCGUGGAGGGAUCUUAUCAGUACUGGAAGUGUAUGGUAAAACUUGAUAAAGGCGUGUGCAAGAGGAGUAAGGACAUCCAUGAUCAGGGAAGGCACAAGAUAUAGUGAGAUCAAGUAUAAGGUAACCGAUUUAUGAUUACUUUCCG
rnacentral:lncRNA from 1 species